rnacentral:rRNA from 1 species
GACGAACGCUGGCGGCGUGCUUAACACAUGCAAGUCGAACGGAAAGGCCCUGCUUUUGUGGGGUGCUCGAGUGGCGAACGGGUGAGUAACACGUGAGUAACCUGCCCUUGACUUUGGGAUAACUUCAGGAAGCUGGGGCUAAUACCGGAUAGGAGCUCCUGCUGCAUGGUGGGGGUUGGAAAGUUUCGGCGGUUGGGGAUGGACUCGCGGCUUAUCAGCUUGUUGGUGGGGUAGUGGCCUACCAAGGCUUUGACGGGUGGCCGGCCUGCGAGGGUGACCGGCCACAUUGGGACUGGGAUACGGCCCAGACUCCUACGGGAGGAAGCAGUGGAGAAUAUUCCACAAUGCGCGGAAGCCUGAUGCAGCAACGCCGCGUGCGGGAUGACGGCCUUCGGGUUGUAACCCGCUUUCGCCUGUCACGAAGCGUGAGUGACGGUAAUGGGUAAAUAAGCACCGGCUAACUACGUG